CAUCACGGGCCCCGGAAGCCCGGGUCCUUGGGGCCUGGUGGGUGUUGCGGAGGCGCCCUGGUGGGUAUGGUUGCCAUGGAAACUCGCGCGCCAGUUUUCGGAGGUUCGGGGGUGUUCUACUCGCCGCCAGCCUACAGCCCCGGAGCGGCCGAGGGACUUGUCCUAACUGGCCCCGGGAACGCCGAGAACAGCUUUGGCUGCGACGCUGAGCUAGUCCCGCCACAGACGUGGGAAAGGAGUCUCCGGGGAGCGCGCAGGGGUCGGGAGGGGGCCCCUCGGGAGUGGUUUCGGCGGGACCAGUGCUCAGCUUGCGGGAACAGGCGUUUGGAGGUUUGAGUAGGCUCAUCAAACGCUGUGCCGGGACCUGCCUCUUUGGUACUGGUGAUGCCCUGACUCGGGAGCCUCUGGCCUGGCCGGGGUCGUUGACACCGAUAACAACAUGGAGAGGAUGUGGAAAAAUUGGAGCCCUCGUGUAAUUGCUGGUGGGAAUGUAAAAUGGGGCAGCUGCCUUGGAAAACAGUUUGAAAGUUCCUGAGAAAGUUAAACAUAGAAUUACCAUAGGACACGACCGUCCCACAUCCUGGGUGUGCGCCCAAAGAGAACUGAAAGCCUAUGUCUGUAUGGAAACUUGUAUGUGAAUGUUAAUAGAAACAUCAUUUAUAAUAUUCAAGAAGUGAAAACAGCCCAAACAUCUAUCAACUGCUGGAUGGAUAAAUGAAACAUGAUAGACCCACGCAGUGCAAUAUUACUUGACCAUCAAAAGGAGUGAAGGGCCGGUGCUCCCCACAAUGUGGAGAAACCUUGGCAACGUGCCAGGCGAAAGAAACCGGAGACAAAGGCCCCAUCCUGUGUGGUUCCCUCUACACACAAUGUUCAGAACAGGCAAAUCUGUAGACACAAGUCAGUUUGGGAGAGGGCAAUGAAGAGUGACUGAUCUGGGCACAGGGCUUCUUUUUAGAUUGAUGAAUUGUUCUGGAAUUACAUAGUGGCGGCAGCUAAACUCGUGAAUAUCCUAAAAACAACUGAAUUGCAUUUUACAGCCUGUGAAUUAUACCUUUAAGAAAUGCACAGGCACACUAGAACAAAGGAAGAACACGAACAUGUUAUAAGCAGCCGUUCCUAGGUGAAGGGAUUAUGGGUAAGAGUUUCCUCCUCUUUGUACCUUUUCCCCGAAUUUCAAAUUUUCUGGAGUUAGCAUAUAUUAUUUUAUCAGAACAUAACUUAAAAAAUUUUGUUUAAUGUUUAUUCAUUUUUUGAUAGAGACAGAGUGUGAGUGGGGGGAGGGGCAGAGAGAGAGGGAGACACAGAAUCUGAAGCAGGUUCCAGGCUCUGAGCUGCCAGCACAGAGCCCGACGCGGGGCUCAAACUCACAGACUGUGAGAUCAUGACCUGAGCUGAAGUCGGAUGCCUAGCCGACUGAGCCACCCAGGCGCCCCUUGGAAAAUAACUUUAAAGCAGCAAAUGGGUACAGCCCAGAGUCAGUGCUGAGGGAUUUGGCACAGAGAAGAGAAACAUAGAGGAAGUGAGUGGCCCUGGGAUUACCGACUUGAAUUCCUUUCUGUGUUUCUGGACUCGAGUGAAAUCCUCAAGGUAUUGGGUUAAUUUUCUGUACUGCGUUUAAAGCCCCACCGCCCCCCCCAACAAAGCCCGAGGGCUCAUGAACGCCUGAGUCACUUCUCUUCCCCAGCUCUUGUCGCCCCCCCCCCUUUUUUUUCCCCUGCAGAUAAAACCUGAAACUGGGGUGUCUGGGUGGCUCAGCAGGCUAAGCGUCCAACUCUUGGUUUCGGCUCAGGUCAUGAUCUCAGGGUUCGUGUGCAGAACCUGCUUGGGAUUCUCUCCUCCUCCUCUUUCUGCCCCUCCCUGCUUGCGUUCUUGCUCUCUCUCAAAAAUGAGUAAGUAAAUAAAUAAAUGAAACAAAACCUGAGAGCGAGCUUAGACAAAACAGCUUGCGGUCGCAAGUACAAUGCGGGGCUUUGAAAAGCCUGUAUCACAAGCACUGGCAUGUUUACAGAACAGCCUCUGUUUACUUUCGUUUCCGGGUGGAAAAGAAGGCGCCCAGGUCUCAGUUUUCCUUAGACCGAGAUGACUUCCUAAUCCCUCGCCUAGGCAGUCUCUCGUUUUUCUACCUCAUUGACCCAGUUCGCGAUAAUAAACACAUUACAACCCUCUUCGUACAGUGCUUUACUAUUGAAAAGUAACGGUCUUUAUAAUGGUGGUUUACAGUUUAAAAUGCCAUUUUCCCAAACGUUAUCAUAUUUGAUCCCCACCGUGACCCCGCGUUGGAUGUAGUUGUCCCUAUUUGCAGGCAAGUCAGCGGAGGGCCAGAGGGCACACAAAACGGGGAUGAAGAGAGAGGACCGCGGUCUCAGGGGGAGACAGGUGUGUCCCAGAAACGCCACUGCCACCUGCGCUUGGUACUAUCCUCCUGUCCCUUCGGGGUCAAGGCCUGAACUCCGAUCGCAGUCUCCCCAAGUGCUUCUGAGGACCUAUUCCUGGCCUCACGUCCCCCCUGAAGGGGCCUGAACCCCGAACGCAGAAAUGCUGGCCUUGGGGUGGGGUGAGCCCGGAGGGCGGGAGGGGGCAGGCGCCAAGGGGCCCUCUGCCCUCCGCAGCUCUGGGCCACCUCUAGAGUCACCCUGGAGAAGCACAGUGUUCAGGGGAGCGGAUGCAUCCACAUUUGGGUUGCUUGUUUUCUAUUUGUUUUAUUUAUUUUUAGGUGCAAAAGGUGAUUUUAUUAAAGCACAGGGAGGACCCUGGGCAGGGAGAGCUGCCCUUUUUUCUAUUUUUAAAGUGCAGUCCUUCCAGAGACCUCAGUGGAAAAGCAGUGGGACCGGUCCUGCAACGGAUGGCAUGGGAGACCCCGCAAGCCCCCCCCCCCCCCCAACUCACCACCUCGGAACCAGACUUUGAGAAAUCGGGACUCCGCCCCCUGCGCCCCGGGCUCGCGAGAGAGCGAGGGUCGACCCAAGGGCGAGCGGACACCUGCGCGCGCGCCCUGCUGGCCCUCGGGCGCCCUGCACGCUAGCACGGCAGCCCAGACGCCCGACUCAACCCACGUGAUCCCGGUCCUGGAAGUUGGGAAGAACAAGAAAAUGUUCAAUUUACUCUAUGUGGUGGGAUUGAGGGAGAUUUUCAUUUUUAAUGUUUCGAUGUUAAGUUGUAUACAAUUAAGUAUCAUCGUGUGAUCGUGUUUUUAAAAAGCAAUAAAAGUUGCCUUCCAAUGGAAAAA